ACUGCUCAGUAACACGUGGCUAACCUACCCUCAGGACGAGGAUAACCCCGGGAAACUGGGGCUAAUAUUCGAUAGGUGAGGAUGCCUGGAAUGGUUUCUCACUCAAAGGGCUUUAGAUACAUGCUUCUAACGUCGCCUGGGGAUGGGGCCGCGACCGAUCAGGUUGUUGGUGAGGUAAUGGCUCACCAAGCCUAUAACCGGUACGGGCCAUGAGAGUGGUAGCCCGGAGAUGGGUACUGAGACAAGGACCCAGGCCCUACGGGGCGCAGCAGUCGCGAAAACUCCGCAAUGCACGCAAGUGUGACGGGGCUACCCCGAGUGCCAUCCGCUGAGGUUGGCUUUUCUUUGGUAUAACUAGCCAGGGGAAUAAGGAGAGGGCAAGACUGGUGUCAGCCGCCGCGGUAAUACCAGCUCUCCGAGUGGUAGGGAUGAUUAUUGGGCUUAAAGCGUCCGUAGCCUGCUUAGCAAGUCUCCUGUUAAAUUCAGCGACCUAAUCGUUGAGCCGCGGGAGAUACUACUAGGCUAGGAGGCGGGAGAGGUCGACGGUACUUCUGGGGUAGGGGUGAAAUCCUAUAAUCCCAGGAGGACCACCAGUGGCGAAGGCUGUCGACUAGAACGCGCUCGACGGUGAGGGACGAAAGCUGGGGGAGCGAACCGGAUUAGAUACCCGGGUAGUCCCAGCCGUAAACGAUGCGGGCUAGGUGUUGGGGCGGCUACGGGCCACUUCAGUGCCGCAGGGAAGCCAUUAAGCCCGCCGCCUGGGGAGUACGGCCGCAAGGCUGAAACUUAAAGGAAUUGGCGGGGGAG
rnacentral:rRNA from 1 species